rnacentral:lncRNA from 1 species
UGUGGGUGGGGGGCAGCAGGCGAAACCUCGACUCGAGGCGGAGGCACCGGCACCGUUCUCAAGUAAGCUAACAAACAGACCCCAAGAGUAAGCUAAUGCACCCGCUCACUCUAGUAAGGGCAGUAUAGUCUCUGAUUCUCUCCUCGACUUACCAAAACAAGCACUUAUUGUGGAAUAUAAAUCUAUCUCGCUUAUGACACGCGCACCUUUCCUUUCUUAUUGCCCGGCCCAAAGCUUCUUUCUCUCUUCCAUCCUGCAUAAGAAGAUUGAUUGGCAACUUCCUGCUAUCCCCAUACUUCUGUUAGUAAAUUACUUGAGCACGGCUUCUGCUUCAUCUGGGCAUUCCGCUUCUAUUCUAUCUUGGGCAUUUGAUUCGGCUGAGGCUUCUGAUCUAGUAGACUACACUCGAACAGCAUUUUUGGUUGCUCGUUUGCGCUGAAUGAGAUUUCCCUGAUGCACUUGUUAUAGUUGGGUCUGGACUUGUACUGUCUUCAUCAUUAAUGGAAUAAAAGACUUGGGCUGGGCCCUUCUCCUUAUAACCAAGUCCUUUGUUUGGUGUUCGCUUCUCUUAGCAC